UACGGAGGAUGCAAGCGUUAUCCGGAUUUAUUGGGCGUAAAGCGUCCGCAGGUGGUUUUCCAAGUCUGCUGUUAAAGCGCGAGGCUUAACCUCGUACAGGCAGUGGAAACUGGAUGACUAGAGUAUGGUAGGGGUAGAGGGAAUUUCCAGUGGAGCGGUGAAAUGCGUAGAUAUUGGAAAGAACACCGAUGGCGAAGGCACUCUACUGGGCUAUUACUGACACUCAGAGACGAAAGCUAGGGGAGCAAAUGGG
rnacentral:rRNA from 1 species